GCAGUCGAGCGGACUUUUAAAGCUUGCUUUUGAAAGGUCAGCGGCGGACGGGUGAGUAACACGUGGGCAACCUGCCUGUAAGACUGGGAUAACUUCGGGAAACCGGAGCUAAUACCGGAUAAUAUAAGGAACCUCCUGGUUCUUUAUUGAAAGAUGGUUUCGGCUAUCACUUACAGAUGGGCCCGCGGCGCAUUAGCUAGUUGGUGAGGUAAUGGCUCACCAAGGCGACGAUGCGUAGCCGACCUGAGAGGGUGAUCGGCCACACUGGGACUGAGACACGGCCCAGACUCCUACGGGAGGCAGCAGUAGGGAAUCUUCCACAAUGGACGAAAGUCUGAUGGAGCAACGCCGCGUGAGCGAUGAAGGCCUUCGGGUCGUAAAGCUCUGUUGUUAGGGAAGAACAAGUGCGAGAGUAACUGCUCGCACCUUGACGGUACCUAACCAGAAAGCCACGGCUAACUACGUGCCAGCAGCCGCGGUAAUACGUAGGUGGCAAGCGUUGUCCGGAAUUAUUGGGCGUAAAGCGCGCGCAGGUGGUCCUUUAAGUCUGAUGUGAAAGCCCACGGCUCAACCGUGGAGGGUCAUUGGAAA
rnacentral:rRNA from 1 species